rnacentral:rRNA from 1 species
UACGAGGGGGGCAAAUGUUGUUCGGAAUCACUGGGCGUAAAGGGAGCGUAGGCGGGCUUCUAAGUUAGGUGUUUAAUCCCAGGGCCCAACCCUGGUCAGGCACCUAAAACUGGGAGUCUUGAAUAGUGGAGAGGACGAUGGAAUUGGGGGUGUAGCGGUGGAAUGCGUAGAGAUCCCCAAGAACACCAGUUGCGAAGGCGGUCGUCUGGACACAUAUUGACGCUGAGGCUCGAAAGCAUGGGGAGCAAACGGG